rnacentral:misc_RNA from 1 species
CUGAGUGUAAAAACUCCCAAACCAAUGUGAACAUACCACUGUUGCUUCGGCGGCCUCGUCCCGCGGAGCGUCUUCCCCCCAGGGGGCUGGCGCGGCCCGGACCCAGGCGACCGCCGGAGGACCCAAACUCUUGCCUUUAUAGUGCAUAUCUGAGUGGCAUAAGCAAAAUAAAUCA